rnacentral:lncRNA from 1 species
AUGGCGUCUAUAGGCUUUAAAGGUGCAAUGUUGGUGAGCACCACCUCUAAGGAGUGUCGAGACAGCGAUGCAGACCUGGACGUGGACGGAGAUGACACUCUGGAGUACGGCAGGGCUCAAUACACAGAAACAGAUGUGAUUCCCUGUUCGGGAGAAAGCUCCAAAGAGACAGCAGUGAAGUACGUAUCCGUGAUGUGUGACGAUCACUCAGUAUUCAUUUACAUAUUUGAUAAAUAUGAGCUAAAUUCAUUUCAAAGCUGUUUCAGUUUCAAAUGCUUUCAGAUGGUAAAUAUACUUUGGUUUGUUUCAGCAGCAGCAGCGUGCCGCCUGAAUCCAGAGUAA